rnacentral:rRNA from 1 species
CUGGUGCCAGCAGCCGCGGUAAUUCCAGCUCCAAUAGCGUAUAUUAAAGUUGUUGCAGUUAAAAAGCUCGUAGUUGAAUUUCGGGGUUAGUAGGUUGGUCAUGCCUCUGGUAUGUACUGGUCUCACUGAUUCCUCCUUCCUGAUGAACCUUAAUGCCAUUAAUUUGGUGUUUUGGGGAAUUUGGACUGUUACUUUGAAAAAAUUAGAGUGUUUAAAGCAAGCUAACGCUUGAAUACAUUAGCAUGGAAUAAUGAAAUAGGACGUUCGAUCCUAUUUUGUUGGUUUCUAGGAUUGACGUAAUGAUUAAUAGGGAUAGUUGGGGGCAUUAGUAUUCAAUUGUCAGAGGUGAAAUUCUUGGAUUUAUUGAAGACUAACUACUGCGAAAGCAUUUGCCAAGGAUGUUUUCAUUAAUCAAGAACGAAAGUUAGGGGGAUCGAAGACGAUCAGAUACCGUCGUAGUCUUAACCAUAAACUAUGCCGACUAGGGAUCGGAUGAUGUUAAUUUUUAAUGACUCAUUCGGCGCCUUACG